UCGAACCGGACGUGUCUUACGCUCAGAGGUCGCAUAACUGGCUCACGAAAAAGGAUGCCACGGGGAAUGUACAUCUCAGCGUGACCAUGCACUGUCACUUGUUACGCGAUGUCAAAGAAGAGGUACUUGAGUUUAACAGUGCUUGGACACAAUAUUCUGUUAUGUGGACAAACUGACGCAGCCAGGGGCAAUCAAAAAGUACCGGUCCAGUGGUUCUACAGGCGUAUUGGUUCUUACCACGCUUUGCUAUAUGAGCGAGAGGAAAAAUGAAAGAGCGUUCAAUUGCUCGCGGAAUGAAGCCAUUGCUGCUAAAGGCCACAUUCAAGGCUUGCCGAGAUGCGGAUGACGUCAUCAAAUAUUUUAUGGCGGAUCAUAAACGACUUAAUUGACACAUUGGAUUGACUGCUUUCCAUGCGCUGUUCACGUCCAGAGGAGGAACUCCACAGACUUAACACUCACCAGGGCGGAGAAACUGUAUAUCAAGAGGCAAGAAGGAUAAACAUCGCUCAAUGGCAAUAUACUGUAUUGUGUACAAAGAAUAUCUACCAGUUACCAUCGGCCCAAUCAAAAUGGAUCGAUCCCGUCUCCACUCCCCUAAAGACGGUUUUUAUACAGGUGAGAAGGCAGUUCUGUUUAACUGAAAUAUGUCGAAUGCUUCCUAAUCUUCACGU